rnacentral:rRNA from 1 species
UACGUAGGGUGCAAGCGUUAAUCGGAAUUACUGGGCGUAAAGCGUGCGCAGGCGGUUGUGCAAGACAGAUGUGAAAUCCCCGGGCUCAACCUGGGAAUUGCAUUUGUGACUGCACGGCUAGAGUGUGUCAGAGGGGGGUAGAAUUCCACGUGUAGCAGUGAAAUGCGUAGAGAUGUGGAGGAAUACCGAUGGCGAAGGCAGCCCCCUGGGAUAACACUGACGCUCA